rnacentral:rRNA from 1 species
GUGCCAGCAGCCGCGGUAAGACGAGCUCUCCAAACGUUAUUCGGUAUCACUGGGCUUAAAGAGUUCGUAGGCGGCUUUGUAGGUGGGGUGUGAAAGCCCUCGGCUCAACCGAGGAAUUGCGCCCCAAACCGCAGGGCUUGAGGGAUAUAGGGGUAAGCGGAACAGAUGGUGGAGCGGUGAAAUGCAUUGAUAUCAUCUGGAACACCGGUGGCGAAAGCGGCUUACUGGAUAUUUUCUGACGCUGAGGAACGAAAGCUAGGGUAGCGAACGGGAUUAGAUACCCGCGUAGUCC